rnacentral:lncRNA from 1 species
GUUCCCCCUUUUAUAGCUGAGCAGUGACUUUCAGAGGCUUGUCAACCAUCCUGUCCCCACCAUCUAUAACUGUGUCUGGCUCACACGGCGUCACCUGAAUGAAUGUUCUGAGGGACAUUAGACCUGAGAGAGACAAAAUUAGGAUUUCACGGGAAUAAUUCAGGGGCAGCCUGGAUGUCAGAGGAAUGGAGCGAAGGUUCUGCAUUCCACUUCAGCAGGGAAGAAAUCUGUCCUAUACUUGAGACAACUGAUGAUAAAUUUAGAUAGAGCAAUACCUUAUCUAUCUGCAAUGCAGAGCAGAAAGUUCUGUGAUUCAAAUCAUGGAAGAAGAAGUUUGGCUUAAAAGACUCUACUUUAGAUCUGAUGUACCAGAACAUAUGAUACUUCGGAAGAGCUACAAAAAAGG